rnacentral:rRNA from 1 species
GACGAACGCUGGCGGCGUGCUUAACACAUGCAAGUCGAACGGAAAGGCCUGCUUUCCCUUGUGGAUUGCGGGUACUCGAGUGGCGAACGGGUGAGUAACACGUGAGUGAUCUGCCCCCAACUUGGGUAUAAGCCUGGGAAACUGGGUCUAAUUCCCGAUAGGACUGCAGGGUGGUGCCUGUGGUGGAAAACGAUUUUCUAGUGGUUGGGGAUGAGCUCGCGGCCUAUCAGCUUGUUGGUGGGGUAAUGGCCUACCAAGGCGGCGACGGGUAGCCGGCCUGAGAGGGUGGACGGCCACAUUGGGACUGAGAGACGGCCCAGACUCCUACGGGAGGCAGCAGUGGGGAAUAUUGCACAAUGGGCGGAAGCCUGAUGCAGCGACGCCGCGGGGGGGAUGACGGCCUUCGGGUUGUAAACUCCUUUCGACCGCGAGGAAGCCACCUGGUUGGAAGGGUGGUGACGGUAGUGGUAGAAGAAGCACCGGCUAACUACGUG